rnacentral:rRNA from 1 species
AUAUUGGUGAGAGACCGAUAGCGAACAAGUACCGUGAGGGAAAGAUGAAAAGAACUUUGGAAAGAGAGUUAAACAGUACGUGAAAUUGUUGAAAGGGAAACGAUUGAAGUCAGUCAUGUCGGUUGGUUUCCGCUUGUUCUACUGCUGUAUUACCUUCCGACGGGACAACAUCAGUUUUGGUGCGGUGGAUAAGGGCGAAUUGAAGGUAGCACCCUCCGGUGUGUUAUAGCUUUUCGUCGCAUACGCUGCCUGAUACUGAUGACUGCACCUCGCCGCAAGGCCGCCCUUCGGGGACGUUCGAGCUUACGAUGUUGGCAUAAUGGCUUUAAACGACCCGUCUUGAAACACGGACC